rnacentral:lncRNA from 1 species
UUGCCGGAUUUGAAAUUAACCAAUCAGAUUACGUAAAUUACGGAAUUUCCACAAUUCAUGAAAAUUCUGCUAUAUAAACGCUGUGAAAUGCGGGACUCGUACAGUCUGAUCGAAGACAUUCUAAAGGUGAAAUCAAGUUUACAUUAACAGUAUCUUAAGGAUUUAAAGGUUUGGUAUGGCUUAUAAUUUGUUUAUUUUAAACAACUUUUAACGUUUAAUAGUAAAGGAUUAUAUGAUACAAAUUAAAGUUUUCUUGAUAAUUUUGUUUUUAAAUUUCAAACUUAUUUAACGAAUAACAAAUAAAUGGAAUAGACAUAUGCUUAUCUUUAGAAUGAACAAAUAAAAGGGGGAGGCCGAAUUUUAAUUUUGAGUUCUCGAAAGUUUGAAGUAGUCUCCUGCACUGGUAAGGUGUACUGACUUAGGGCAGUGUCAUUUAGCUAACAAUGGAGAGGAAGUGUCAUGUGGCAUGCCCCGCUAUAGUCAGGAAGACCUCUCCGACCAAAACCUUUGCAGUCUUGCUUAACUGCGAGAGCAGCUCUGUUUCCAGUGAUGGAAAUGUUGACGGGCGGUGACUACUUUGGCGAAAGCCUUAGUCAAACAUUCUUGAAUAUCAAUCAGAUCGUUAUUCAUUUCAGUAUCAAGACUGGGAACCCAUACGGUCGGUAGACUGAGGAGUCGUUUUUCCGACCCGUGGGCGAGUACCAGUGGCGAUAGGCUCCUUUGAUAUGAAUAAUAACUGGUUGUCCAUAUCAUAUUAUGAUGAAUAAUAAAAAUAAAAAUAUUGAGCACACUUUCACUUUUCAGAAAAAAAGAUGGAACCAGCGUCGAAAAAAGUCAAGAUGGCAAAAUCUCCAAUCAAAUGUGGUGUAUGCGGAAAAUCGUUUUCCCAUAAAGAGAGUUUAAUGCGCCAUAAGAGAUCGGUUCAUACUGGAACGAAAUGGCAUUGCACCACCUGCGAUGUGGUAUUUUCAAGAAAAGACAACUACCAACGCCAUAAGCGAAACCAUGAUAAACAACCAGUCCAAAAG